UGGGGAAUUUUGGACAAUGGGGGAAACCCUGAUCCAGCCAUCCCGCGUGUGCGAUGAAGGCCUUCGGGUUGUAAAGCACUUUUGGCAGGAAAGAAACGUCAUGGGUUAAUACCCCGUGAAACUGACGGUACCUGCAGAAUAAGCACCGGCUAACUACGUGCCAGCAGCCGCGGUAAUACGUAGGGUGCAAGCGUUAAUCGGAAUUACUGGGCGUAAAGCGUGCGCAGGCGGUUCGGAAAGAAAGAUGUGAAAUCCCAGAGCUCAACUUUGGAACUGCAUUUUUAACUACCGGGCUAGAGUGUGUCAGAGGGAGGUGGAAUUCCGCGUGUAGCAGUGAAAUGCGUAGAUAUGCGGAGGAACACCAAUGGCGAAGGCAGCCUCCUGGGAUAACACUGACGCUAAUGCACGAAAGCGUGGGGAGCAAACAGG
rnacentral:rRNA from 1 species